UCGAGCGAGGCGGGGAGCAAUCCCCAGUCGAGCGGCGAACGGGUGAGUAACGCGUGGAUGACCUGCCCUUCAGCGGGGAAUAACCCGGGGAAACUCGGGCUAAUACCGCAUACGACCGCGUGGUGAAAGGGGGCCGCAAGGCUCUCACUGAAGGAGGGGUCCGCGUCCGAUUAGCUAGUUGGUAGGGUAAAGGCCUACCAAGGCGACGAUCGGUAGCCGGCCUGAGAGGGUGAUCGGCCACACUGGAACUGAGACACGGUCCAGACUCCUACGGGAGGCAGCGGUGGGGAAUUUUGCGCAAUGGGCUAACGCCUGACGCAGCAACGCCGCGUGAGGAUGAAGGUCUUUGGAUUGUAAACUCCUGUCAGCAGGGAAAAAGCGACCUGACCUAACACGUCAGGGAGUUGAUUGUACCUGCAGAGGAAGCCCCGGCUAACUCUGUGCCAGCAGCCGCGGUAAUACAGAGGGGGCAAGCGUUA
rnacentral:rRNA from 1 species